rnacentral:piRNA from 1 species
UCCAAAGCAGGUACAUAGGAGUCCUUUGG